GAACUUAGUAAAAAUGUAGAGCACAUUGCAGCAGUCCAACCUUGAGGUUACCAGUGCAUGCACUAACAUCUUAAAGUCC
rnacentral:snoRNA from 11 species